rnacentral:rRNA from 1 species
UACAUGGGGUGCAAACGUUGCUCGGAAUUAUUGGGCGUAAAGCGCACGUAGGCGGUUUGUUAAGUCGGAUGUGAAAUCCCUCGGCUCAACUGAGGAAGUGCAUCCGAAACUGGCAGGCUUGAGUACUAAAGAGGGUCGCGGAAUUCCCGGUGUAGAGGUGAAAUUCGUAGAUAUCGGGAGGAACACCGGUGGCGAAGGCGGCGACCUGGGUAGAUACUGACGCUGAGGUGCGAAA